GGGAUAUCUUUAGUAAUUGCGAAUGAACAAGGAUAUGCUUAGCUUGACAAAUGGAGCUAUUGGCUUUGAAUUGUAUUGUGGAAAUGUAUUACCAACAGAGGUGCAGGUGCCAGCCUAUUGAAAUAAAGCGUCAAUGAGGGUGAGAAUCCUGUUUGUCAUGUGCAGCCCUUUGUGCACGGUGUAUAUUUGCUGAGUCACACUCCUUGGCAUUGGAAUGCAAAGUGGGUGGUAAGUUUCAUGUAAAGGUAAACAUGCAAUUGAGACUGAUAGCACACAAGUACCAUGAGGGAAAUAUGAAAAGGACUUUGAAAAGAGAAUUAAAUGAGUUUGUAUUUGCUGAACACAAAGUAAACAGACUUGAUUUGCUUGGUGGGAGUGUUGCACUUGCUUGACAAGAGCUUUGGGCUGUGGGUGUAAUGAUUCUUUCUUUGCAUGCCAGUUUCUAUUUGUACAUCUGAUUACCUUUGCACAUGAAUGAUAAGUCUCCUGUGGGGGGUGGAUUGCAUGUGCAUGUAAUGAUUUGUGUUUUGAUAAAUGUGUCUGGUGUAUGUGUGUGUUCCUGUGCUUGGGGAUGCUUCCUUCCUUGGACUUACAAGCCCUGACACACACAUGCUGGCAAAAUGCUUCUGCUUGACCCGUC
rnacentral:rRNA from 1 species